AAUCUUAGACAAUGGGGGCAACCCUGCUCUAGCCACGCCGCGUGAGUGAUGAAGGCCNNNGGGUUNUCAAGCUCUCUCAGCUGNGACNAUAAUGACGGUAGCAGCAGAAGAAGUCCCGGCUAACUCCGUCCCAGCAGCCGCGGUAAUACGGAGGGGACUCGCGCUGUUCGGAAUUACUGGGCGUAAAGCGCACGUAGGCGGUUCGGAAAGUUGGGGGUGAAAUCCAGGGGCUCAACCCCGGAACUGCCUUCAAAACUAUCGGUCUGGAGUUCGAGAGAGGUGAGUGGAAUUCCGAGUGUAGAGGUGAAAUUCGUAGAUAUUCGGAGGAACACCAGUGGCGAAGGCGGCUCACUGGCUCGAUACUGACGCUGAGGUGCGAAAGCGUGGGGAGCAAACA
rnacentral:rRNA from 1 species